AAAGAGCUUGUAGGCGGUUUGUCGCGUCUGCUGUGAAAGACCGGGGCUUAACUCCGGUUCUGCAGUGGGUACGGGCAGGCUAGAGUGUGGUAGGGGAGACUGGAAUUCCUGGUGUAGCGGUGAAAUGCGCAGAUAUCAGGAGGAGCACCGAUGGCGAAGGCAGGUCUCUGGGCCAUAACUGACGCUGAGAAGCGAAAGCAUGGGGAGCAAACAGGAUUAGAUACCCUGGUAGUCCAUGCCGUAAACGUUGGGCGCUAGGUGUGGGGCUCAUUCCACGAGUUCCGUGCCGCAGCUAACGCAUUAAGCGCCCCGCCUGGGGAGUACGGCCGCAAGGCUAAAACUCAAAGGAAUUGACGGGGGCCCGCACAAGCGGCGGAGCAUGCGGAUUAAUUCGAUGCAACGCGAAGAACCUUACCAAGGCUUGACAUGCACCGGACGACUGCAGAGAUGUGGUUUCCCUUUGUGGCUGGUGUGCAGGUGGUGCAUGGUUGUCGUCAGCUCGUGUCGUGAGAUGUUGGGUUAAGUCCCGCAACGAGCGCAACCCUCGUUCCAUGUUGCCAGCGGGUUAUGCCGGGGACUCAUGGGAGACUGCCGGGGUCAACUCGGAGGAAGGUGGGGAUGACGUCAAAUCAUCAUGCCCCUUAUGUCUUGGGCUUCACGCAUGCUACAAUGGCUGGUACAGAGGGCUGCAAUACCGUGAGGUGGAGCGAAUCCCUUAAAACUGGUCUCAGUUCGGAUUGGGGUCUACAACUCGACCCCA
rnacentral:rRNA from 1 species